rnacentral:rRNA from 1 species
GACGAACCGAGCGAACGUUAUUCGGAAUCACUGGGCUUAAAGGGCGCGUAGGCGGGCCUGAAAGUCAGGGGUGAAAGCCCCCAGCUCAACUGGGGAAGUGCCCCUGAUACUUCAGGCCUCGAGGGAGGUAGGGGCGUGCGGAACUUCCGGUGGAGCGGUGAAAUGCGUAGAUAUCGGAAGGAACACCGGUGGCGAAAGCGGCGCGCUGGACCUCUUCUGACGCUGAGGAGCGAAAGCCAGGGGAGCAAACGGG